UACGUAGGCAGCGAGCGUUGUUCGGAGUUACUGGGCGUAAAGGGUGUGUAGGCGGUUGUUUAAGUUUGGUGUGAAAUCUCCCGGCUCAACUGGGAGGGUGCGCCGAAUACUGAAUGACUCGAGUGCGGGAGAGGAGAGUGGAAUUCCUGGUGUAGCGGUGAAAUGCGUAGAUAUCAGGAGGAACACCGGUGGUGUAGACGGCUCUCUGGACCGUAACUGACGCUGAGACACGAAAAGCGUGGGUAGCAAACAGG
rnacentral:rRNA from 1 species